rnacentral:lncRNA from 1 species
CCUACCAAUUGCCUAUCUGUGGAACAAGUAAACAUGAUUCACAAAAGUAAAUACAGAACACAGUGUCUUUACGGGGAAAACACCCGGCUCAAGAAAGGUGUAAGAAACCACGACCUGUACCUCUACAGGAUUUAACCCCAACUUCACUAUAAUACUUGAGCCUCAACAAUCAACAGACUUACAAGACUUCUUGUAAACUAGGAAUUAAAACUUCUAACUCCUAUCACUACAAAAACACAAAUCUUCCUAAGAUAAGUGUUCCCCAACUUGAAGACACAACCCCUAACUCAGUUUAUAGAUCACUGAGACUAGAACAAUGACUCAUCACAACUCAAAGAACCUACCUACUACAAACAGUCUACGACUUGCUAAUUAAGAGGGCAGGUUCUUCUUCAAAUAUGUGAACUGAUAUGCUGAUAUGUUUUCUUUUUAGUGCUUGAGUAUUUUCUUUUGAAUUUGUUUCUUGUAUUUAAGCACAACCUCAUAGAGUCCUUCAAUUGAUGUAAUCUUCCCUGUUCAACUGAACUUUAUAUAGUUUCCCACUUCUUGUUGCUGCCUUUCUUUCUUCUUCUUUUGAAUGGAAUUCUUCUUUCCAGGAUUCCUCUUUUCUUUCUACAAGACCUCUUGUUCAACUCAACUUCUGCAAGUCUUCUUUUUCAACUCAACUUCUGAUGUGAUAAAUGCUAUCCACUUCUGCUUGUACACCAAGUCAUCUUAUCAAUAACUUGUCUGUAGCUGAUCUUGGUUCAGUUGGAUGGAACAACUUUUACAACAUGUUUAAUUCUCAUGCCAAUCAUCAAAACUCCACAUACCCUAACAGAUUUUCAUAAGGAAAGACAAGAGGUUGCAGACAAGUAGGGAUUGUCACCAAGAAGUUUUCAACAAAUAAAGGGCUUUGACUACAAUGCGGUUGUUAGUGCAAAGAGGCCUCUCACAAGGUCACAAAGCAGUCGAGGUAGAUGAAUCAUAGAACAUCAUAUAUAGAUAUUUUUUUCAUCUUAUAUCAUGGAAUUAAGCUACUAGGACACAUGUCAGGUAGCUUAACUCCACCUCUAUGUAAUGCUUUGCAUCUUAUCGGAGGUCUUGGCCUAGUCCCCCUCCUUGUACUAUUUAUUUUAUGAAAUAAAAACCUUGGGGGUGCUGCUUAACCCCUGGCCCACCAUGGGUCAUUACAAAAAAA